rnacentral:misc_RNA from 1 species
CCUCCUUUCUAAGGAUGAGUGAAAGUAAAAUUUCACUCUAAAUAAUAUACAUCGGUAAUGUUGACCGUCCUCAUUUCUCUUCUUAAAGUAAUGUUUCCUUCUUGUAGGGCCGGUAGCUCAGUUGGUUAGAGCACACCCUUGAUAAGGGUGGGGUCGAAAGUUCGAGUCUUUCUCGGCCCACCAAAAACCUAAAUGGGGGAUUAGCUCAUCUGGGAGAGCGCCUGAUUUGCAUUCAGGAGGUAGCAGGUUCGAUCCCUGUAUCCUCCAUCAGGAAACAUUUAGUUAUUAAAACUGUAAAUAAAAAUAAUUUAUAUCAAUAUCUAUAUCCGAACAUUAAAAGUUAUUAUUUAAUGUUCAAAAUAAAAAUUUGAUCACAAUGCAGAUUAAAUUUCUUUAAAAAGAAUUUUUUUCUGUGCAUAAAUCAAGCGUUUAAGGGCGUGUAGUGGAUGCCUGGGCACUGAAAGCCGAUGAAGGACGUGAUAUACUGCGAUAAGUUUCGGGGAGCUGUAUGUAAGCUUUGAUCCGAANAUUCCG